CCAGACUGGUGGAAACAAUUACCAUUUUGAAUAUUAAUGUUCAGUUUACAUUAGUAGGUGUUAGUGAGGGAUGUUGUUAUUUGUAUAGUUGUAGAAAAUGGAUUGUUGACUGUCAUUAUCCUGCAGUAAAAUUGUUGACUGUGGUUAUUCUGUAGUAAAAGAACCAGAGCAGAGAUUGUGUGUCUUCCGUGAUGACGAUGAUUGCAAGUUCAAGUUUGUUUACAAACUCGACGAGAACAACAAGCCUUAUGUUUGGGCACAGAGAACAAAAGAUUGUCCAGAACCAAUUAACAUUUUGGCAAUUGUCCUUGGCGUUAUUGGCGGGAUUGUCUUGGUGGGACUAGCGCUUCUACUCAUCUGGAAACUUUUUACCACUAUUCACGACCGCAGAGAAUUUGCCAAGUUUGAGAAGGAAAGACAGAUGGCAAAAUGGGACACUGGCGAAAAUCCUAUUUAUAAGCAAGCAACAACAACUUUCAAGAACCCUACUUAUGGUGGGAAACAGUGAGGAUCGUCUGUCCUCUAGUAUGGGAAGACAAGCCAGUGCUUUCUGCUACUCUACUGCCACAUAAUUGUUUGUCUUCCAUUGAAAUCUGUUUUACCUCUGAAGUUCAAUUAAUGAAUAUCACAAGCUUCUUCCUUUAAUCGGCAAGUAAUGAACUGUCGAGGUAGAAUAUAACAGUUGUGUUGUCUGAAUAUCACAAGCUUCUUCUUUUAAUUGGCAAGUAAUGAACUGUCAAGGUAGAAUAUAACAGUUGUGUUGUCUGAAUAUCACAAGCUUCUUCCUUUAAUUGGCAAGUAAUGAACUGUCAAGGUAGAAUAUAACACUUGUGUUGUCUGAAUAUCUCAAGCUUCUUCCUUUAAUUGGCAAGUAAUGAACUGCCAAGGUAGAAUAUAACACUUGUGUUGUCUGAAUAUCCCAAGCUUCUUCCUUUAAUCAGCAGCUAAUGAACCAAUAAUGUAGAAUAUAACAGUUGUGUUGUCUGAAUAUCACAAGCUUCUUCCUUUAAUCGGCAAGUAAUGAACCAAUAAUGUAGAAUAUAACACUUGUGUUGUCUGAAUAUCACAAGCUUCUUCCUUUAAUCAGCAGGUAAUGAACUGUCGAGGUAGAAUAUAACACUUGUGAAUUGGUUUUUGGUGUUAAAUCUGAAUUUUUCUAUUAACCCAAAUUAACUAAGAUUGACAUGGAUUUUUAUAACAAGUUUUUUUAUAUCAAUUAUUUUCCUUGUUAAAGUUUUUCUGAAAUAUUUGUUUUUGUGUAUUAACUAGUUUGUAUAUUGUUAAUUAAGGUAUCAAAUCUUGUGCUGUAAUCUGAGACUAAAGUGACCUGUGUGCAAAGUUUGAUAAAGAAUUUUAAAAGAACAACAAACAAACACGGCACUAUAUAUAUAAGUUCAAAUAUAUGAAAUUCACCUGUCUUUGGUAUGAAUGUAAUUAUAAACCAACUGGUUUUCAAUACUGCAGAAUGUUAAGAUGGAAAUGCAUCAACAUCCUCUACAUUUUGGUGUGUGUGUUAUUUUGAGGCCAAGGUAUCUACAUCGACAUCGUGUACCUUUUGUUGUGUGUAUUAUUUUGUGGCCAAGGUAUCUACAUCGACAUCAUGUACCUUUUGUUGUGUGUAUUAUUUUGUGGCCAAGAUAUCUACAUCGACAUCAUGUACCUUUUGUUGUGUGUAUUAUUUUGAGGCCAAGGUAUCUCCAAGUUUUUUACUCCUCUGUGUAUUUAAGUAAAGAUGAAAAACCUAAUAUUAAGAAUCUCAACUAGACAUAUAAAAUAUUUCUGUACUGAAAUCAUCAAACUGUGGUAGUUGUGUAUUGAUAUCAGAGUAAACAAAGGCAUGGUAUGUACUCGUUUAAUUUGAAUAUUUUUCUACCUAUUAUUCUCUAAAAGCUUUUUUUGCUCUCUUCUUGAAUUUGAAAUCCAGUUCCAAAUUCCUUAAUGCUGAUUUUUGUUCUAAUGUUUAUUAGCCUAAUUUCAGUAUUACAUUCUUGAUUGUGGGUAAACAUUUAAUUUGGUUUAUAAUUUUCAGAUAUUAAAGUUACCGAAAAAUAUGUCAUAGGUUGAGGUUGGUAAAAUUAUUUGAAGAGUAGCCAAAUGUUUUGAAGAAUACAUAGUAUGUCUUAAAGUGUGCUGAAAACAACAAAUGUGUGGUUUUACAAUUUAUAAGUAAAAUCACUUUCUUGUUAGUUAUAGAAUAAUGGUGAUUUUAUUUUUGUUGUGCCUCUAACUUAAGCCUUUUUAUUAUUCAAACAUUGUUUUGUGAAUCCUAACAACACCUGAAGAAUAUUUUCAUAAGGUAGCUAGCUUACAUUUUAUGUUGCUUCUCUUUCAUUGUUCUCUGUCUGAAUGUAAUGAAGAUGAUCAUUUCUUUUUUGAGGUUGAUCAAAUCUUAGUAUUGUUAUUUCAUUCUUCAGAAUGUCGUAACCUACUAAGCUCCUUUGUGUAUUUCGUGUUUUGACAUCUGAUGACGUAGCGUUAUUUCAGAAUUACAUUCAGUUUGGUUGUCCUUUAGUAUUUUUGUCUUAUUUAUUAGGUUGUAAUUUUACUGACAUUUGAAUAUAUUUGUAUUUGUUUUAAUUCUAUGAGUAUUAUAUUGAACAGCUUAACCUUUAACAAGCUUAAAAUUUUGAAAGAACAGUGGAAUUCCAACCUGUUCUUGUUAGCUGGUGAGUGAAUGAUGAGAGUAUUUCAUGUCAAGGUAUUAAGAUUUAUAAGGUGACACAAAUAUUAAUUUUUUUAUUCAACAUCUACCCAAGUGCCAUUAGUGUUAGAAUUAGAUUUGGCUGUUCUCCACAGGUGUGAUACGCUUCACUUUGAUAAAAUGAGAUGUUUUAUAUAAGCAGGGUUUUUUGCUUAUGUUUUUUUUUGGAAUUUUUUGUUACUACUUUUAAUGUUUUUAUUUGUUUAAUAACAUUUAUCUAAAAAUACGAUUCUUUGUUCAUUGUUGUGUAUGUGAAAGUUUUACCUUGGUAUCUCCAGUUUUUCCUGUGUUAGGAAAACUGGGUUCUUCCCUUGAUAUCUCCAGCUUUUCCUAUGAUAUUUUACCUGUUCUUCCCGUGGUAUCUUCAACUUUUCAUGUGUUAUUUUUCCAGAUCCAAAUCAGUUUUCCUUUGGUAUCUCCAGCUUUUCCUAUGAUAUUUUACCUGUUCUUCCCUUGGUAUCUUCAGCUUUUCGUGUGUUAUUUUACCAGAUCUGAAUCAGAUCUUCCCUUCAUAUCUCCAAUUCUUCCUGUGUUAUUUUACCAAAUCUGGGUGCCUCUGUGAAGAAACAAACAUCCCUAAUGUCAGAGAUUAUUGUGAUUGAUACUGGGUUGUUUUGUGAUUUUUAUAAAUGCAUUCUACCUUCUCAUCUACAAAGGUAACAUGAGUGUCUACUGAUCAGGCCCCUCAGUGGUACAGCGGUAUGUCUGCGGACUUACAACGCUAGAAAUCCGGUUUCGAUACCCGUGGUGGGCAGAGCACAAAUAGCCCAUUGUGUAGCUUUAUGCAUAAAUUCAAACAAACUACUGGUCAGCUUGUUAUUGUGUUUUAUUUCUGAUAGUGGUGGUGUGAUAACCUCUGGGACUGUGUGUGUGUCUGUCAGUCAGAUUCACUGGUCAGCUUGCUAGUACUGAGAGUGAUGGUGUGGUAACCUCUGGAACUGUGUCUACUGGUCAGCUUGUGAGUACUGAUAGUGGUGGUGUGAUAACCUCUGGGACUGUGUGUGUGUCUGUCAGUCAGAUUCACUGGUCAGCUUGUAAGUACUGAGAGUGAUGGUGUGGUAACCUCUAGAACUGUGUCUACUGGUCAGCUUGUAAGUACUGAGAGCAGUGGUGAGAUAACCUCUGGAAGUGUGUCUACUGGUCAGCUUGUUAGUACUGACAGGAAGAGUGUAGUAACCUCUGUGAAGUUUAUAAUAGUUAAGUGCAAGAUGAUUUUACUAACAAAUGUUUCAAUGUAUAUGCCAUUUGUAAUAGAGAUUAUCAUAAAACAAAAUGUUAUUAAGUAGGUGAUUUCUAUAAUGAAAACAUCUUUCUGUUGUAGUAAACUACAAGUUUCAGCCAGUCAUGUUUGUAAAGCUUAAUCAGAACUUUUUAGAUUGCUUUUUAAAAAGUAACAAUGAGUAUUUGGAGGAAGGAAACUGAAUCACUCAGGAGAAAUAUGUAACAAGGAAUUUUAACCUUAAUGUGUUUUAACAAAUAAAGUUUUCCAUUAAUGUA